rnacentral:rRNA from 1 species
AUGGCCGUAGAAGGAGUUCCAGAAGAGAGCUCCUUCAGUAAGCUUGCGUGCCGGGUGGAUCUAUUAAAGAAGAAAGAGGCUUCUCUUGAUCUACUCUAUUGCUUAGGAGGUGAAAGGGCGAAUAGUGAGGAGUUAGAGUUUGACUUCCUUGGAUACACCACCACAUUGAAGAAGGGCCUGAGUUGUGAUCUAGAGAGAUCUCAGCCACUCUCGUCUGAUCUCCUCAUCGAUGGUGGCUGUAGCAGAGUUACGACAUGUGUUGAGGUUCUCAUACCUUGGCGGUCGAUUACUGGCCUUCGCCACUCCAACGUCAAUUUUUCUGGAUGA